rnacentral:rRNA from 1 species
AGCAGCCGCGGUAAUUCCAGCUCCAAUAGCGUAUAUUAAAGUUGCUGCAGUUAAAAAGCUCGUAGUUGAAUUUCGGGACCAUCAUGUCGGUCGUGCCUCGGUACGUACUGGUAUUGUUGGGUUUCUCCCCUUCUGACGAACCAUGAUGUCAUUUAUUUAGUGUUGUGGGGAAUCAGGACUGUUACUUUGAAAAAUUGAGUGUUUAAAGCAGGCUCACGCUUGAAUACAUUAGCAUGGAAUAAUGAAAUAGGACGUUUGAUUCUAUUUUGUUGGUUUCUAGGAUCGACGUAAUGAUUAAUAGGG